UGGGCAGAGAGUUUCUGUUCGGGAAAAUGAAAAUAUUCUGAAAAUGAAUAGUGGCAAUGGCUGCUAACACGAUGAAUGUACUUAAUGGCACUGAACUGUACAAUUUAAGUGGUUAAAUGACAAGUUUUAUCUUAUGUGUAUUUUAACACAAUAAUACAAAAGCGUGUUUUGCCGUUUCCCAUCCCUGGGCACCAUGACAGCAGAUGACCAGGAAGCCAAUAUGGUGAAUGAGCCUGGCAAAGGCUGGCUUCUCCAGCUCAGUACACGUGUAAAUGGAGCCUUCAUGGCGCCAAGAAUUAGUCCAUGUGGAAUUUCAGUAUCUUGGGCAGGGCUCCUGGAAGGCAAACCCACUAAAUAAUUGUGACCGGAGGAGUGAGGAAGCGUUGGAGAGACUCUUCCCUUUAACCUUGAAAGUCCAUCAGAUCAGAGAAGUGAGGUUCAAUAAGUCACCCAAGAAGAGAUCUAUAGAGUUCUUAACACUGCUUUUUGCAAACUUGAAGAGUUACUACAUAUUUGGUGUGGUUUACACAGUGGAUGUUAAAACACCGCCCCCAGG
rnacentral:lncRNA from 1 species